AGGAAUCUUCAGUUGGAAUCCAGGCAGACUCUUCCUCUGCUGAAAUCACUGCUAGCCGGUCAGCUAACUGAUUAACCAACCACUCAGCACUAUGUAAUGCAGGGAGAAGAUUGCUGACACCAAACUGCUCUUAAGUCUACCCAAAAAAAGGCAGAACAACAUCCGAGAGCUGGGAACUGAAGCAAUCACAACUGGAAAUGAGAUGCAUGUUUUCAACAAUUAGAGUCAUUAACCUCUGGAACGGCUUCACAAGAGAUGUGCCUCCAUCACCAGCGUAUUGAAGCACCUCACCAUCUUUAAUGGAUUUAUCCUCACAACACCUUGCAAGGGUUCUGGUGCCUUCCUCCGUAGCCUCUGGUGCUGCCCCCGUCGGAGAUGGGAUAUCCGACGAGGUGGUCCCUUGACCUGAUCCAGAAUGGUAAUUCCUAUGGCAGUGCAGGGCCUGGUUUUCCUCUGUCGUACCAGUGUCGUUCAGAAAUAACUCCCCUAAGCCAACGGAGUGACACUGCUCUAAAACAGCUGUGAGGAGACUCAGGCCUUUGGGGCUCUUGCUAUGACCCCAGAGCCAACAGGGACAACAAAUAUUUAUUCAGGGAAUAAAGAAGAAACCUGAUUCCUCGAUUCUUUAAACUCCCUGAAACAACAGUGAAACGCCCUUGUAUUUGCUGAAUGAAUCACUUGCUGACUACUA